UGAAACAAGGGGAAGACUCACAUAGAGGCAGCAGUAGAGAAUCUUGUGCAAUAAACGAAAGUAUGACACAGAGAGGACACAUUUAAUUGAGCCCGUCAAAUUAAGUGCCAGCCGACGCGGUUAAACUUAAGGGCUGGUCUUUAUAAGUAAAAAGGCGUAAAGGAUGUGUAGGCUAAGAAACGAUCCAAGUAGGUAAAUGGAAUUUUUCUGGAGCGGUAGAAUGUGAGGAUAGAAAAUAGAACCCCUAAGGUAAAAACUAUUUACUACAAGGUAGGCUGAAACAUGAGAGUGUGGGGAGCAAACAGGAUUAGAGACCCUGGUAGUCCACACUGUGAACUUUGAAGAUGAUGCUUAGCAGACCCGAAAGGUAAAAUCUUCCGCCUGAGUAGUACGAUCGCAAGAUUAAAAUUCAAAAACUUUGGCUGUUCACUAUUUCGAUUAGAGGAGCGUGUAGUUUAAUUCGAUGGUCCGCGUGUUACCUUACCCCAACUUGAAUCUGUGACCGGUAUUGCAUGGCCGUCGUAAGUUCGUGUAUUAAGCUAGAAGGGACCCAACCCGGGCAUUUGCCCGGAGGAAGUCAGGUCUUAUGAUCCGAAUGUUGGGGGAUUUUAUGCGCUACAUUUUCUUAUAUAAUGAGAAACCUGGAAGGUGAGUCUCUAAAGUAAGAGUUCGGAAGGUCGCUGUAAGACGACUGGAAGUUGGAUUUAAUAGUAAUCGGAAAGUAGGGCGUUCCGGUGAAUUGGUACAAGUGUUAGCACAAAUUGCCCGUCACCUUUACUUAGAAUGGUUAUUCGGACGUCUUCGGUGAUUACGAAUGCCUACGAGGUAAAGCAAGUCGUAACAU
rnacentral:rRNA from 2 species